rnacentral:rRNA from 1 species
CCCUUAGAUGUUCUGGGCCGCACGCGUGCUACACUGAGUGGAUCAGCGGGUCAGGUUGCGCGAAAGUGUUUCCUAAUCUUGAAAUCCGCUCGUGAUGGGGAUUGACGGUUGCAAUUUUCCGUCAUGAACGAGGAAUACCUUGUAAGCGCGGGUCAUCAUCCCGCGCUGAAUACGUCCCUGCCCUUUGUACACACCGCCCGUCGCUCCUACCGAUUGAGUGGUCCGGUGAGGCUUUGGGAUCUGAGCGGAAAGAGCGUUUCGCUGUUUCUGCUCGGAAAACUCAGUCGAACCUUAUCAUUUAGAGGAAGGAGAAGUCGUAAC